AUAUAUAGACUUGACCUCUGGACUGGUAGCAGAGACUAGAAAGUAGAAGCGGUGGCAUGUUCAUUAUCUAGGUGGAAGGCCAGAGACCAACCACAGAGCUACAGCUUCUCUGUGAAAAUUGUACGCUUUAGAUGUGGCUGCCUGAGCUUCUGAUUAUACAUCUGGUUUGAGGUGAUGGCAGGUAAGAAUAGGGGAAUAGACUUCUAAUUAUAAUUUUUGCCAUUUUGAAAAACUUGUGAACCAUCUGGGGUUCCAACCUUCAUUGUUUGAGGCAUCAAAAUGUGGCGAUGAAUUAGCUUUUAUGGAUGAAUUCUAAGGAAUUCACUGAUUUUAUUUAAUAAAUAAAAUAAGUGCAUUUAUAGAUUAUAAGCUCCAUAAGACAGUGAUAGAUAAGGUGCUCUGAAAUUUGAGUGUAGAGAUCCCUUAUGUUUGGUUAGCAUUGCCCAGAUAUACUUUAUUGGAAGGGAUAUAUUAGAGCCAGGUUAAACUUAGUAAGUGCUAUAUAUUGAGCCUUUUUAGUACCUAUUAUGUUACGUUUUUUAGAUUCUAAAUAUUUUUAUCAUUUCUCAAACUACGUUUUCUCCUAUUUUUGUGUACUUCACAAUAUUACAUGACUGGUAUUGUAUAGUUCCUUAUUUUGUACCUCAUUUGUCAUAUUCAUGGAGAUUUUCAUUUGAACUGUUCCAAAGGAGCAGACUUGUGUACUUGUAAAGGUUUGAGAAGAAACUCAGCACAGAUGGUGAGCUUGAUGAACUAAAAGUUCUGAAGAAUGUGACAUCAGGACCCAGUAGGGCACCGUACUACCUUUACCAUCCAAGUACACCAAAGUACUAAAUUUCUGGGAGGGCAGAGGAUGCUGCAGAUUUUUGUUUUCCACUCAUUGAUUUCUUUCAUUUCAGUUGGUGAUGACUGAGGUGCUUCAGAUAGGAAAAACUCUGAGGCUCCCCUGGAAUGAGUAAUCAGCUAUCCUGACUACAGACUGAACCUCUCGCCCCUGAGGAUCCCCAGCAGUAGGACAAGGAAACAGAAUCUCUCUUAGCAGUGGGAGAAUUGAAAUACCAGUGGAGUGGCUAUGGAGUUGGAGAGCAGCACUUAUUGGGUGUCCUCUGCGGUUGGCCCACAUGGUUUUUGGUCCUUUGCCAGGUGAUGAAAAGUCAAAGAACAAGUUCAUGUGACAGAAGAAAAGUAGUGUAUUUGAAAACUACAUGUCCAAGUUUCAGAAGGCUUAAAGAGAGCAUUACUUAUCCAGGUGCAGUAUUGGGAAGUUGUUAUAGAAGAUGUUGGGAGAGAUGAGAACAUGAUAGCCAUGUUCAGAAGGGGCUUCAGUUUGGGGCACUGACCAAGUAGAAAUCAGGAGGAAGAUUGUAGAAUUGGCUAUUUGAGAUCCCAGAAGCACCAUGUCAGAGUUCCUCCUACAGUAUAAUAUUGGUAUGAAUUAUUAUUU